UCUCCACUGCACUCCCCAUCCCUAACAUGACGCCAUAAGCCAAGAGUUGAAUACCUUCAUUGCCAAGUGAAGCAGCAGCAAGUUCAAGAUUACCAAGAUGACCACAGAACAUUUGAGUAGACACAGACGUAACAUUGUUGAGCAAAUAAACAAUGAUUGCUGGAGCUGCUAGUCGAAACAGAUUACUGAAUUCAACGGCAGAUGCCCGUCUAAGCCGCUGAAAAUGCGACAAUCUUGCAUCCAACAAUAUGUCUUCAAGCUCG
rnacentral:misc_RNA from 1 species